rnacentral:misc_RNA from 1 species
CAUGAUGAGCGGAAAGAACGGAAAUCCGAUGUUGACAACUCCGAAGAUGAGAGGAAGACACGGAUCGGAUCUUUUACGAAAAAGGCAAUUAAUGCAUCGACCAAAUUCAGGCAUUCCUUGAGGAAAAAGAGCAGGAGAAAAAGUGAGAGUCGAGUCAACUCGAUUUCAAUAGAAGAUAUCCGUAAUAUUGAGGAGCUACAAGCUGUUGAUGCGUUCCGUCAAGCUCUAAUUUUGGAUGAGUUGCUACCUGCAAAGCAUGAUGAUUAUCAUAUGAUGUUAAGAUUUUUGAAAGCACGGAAGUUUGAUAUUGAGAAAGCAAAGCAUAUGUGGGCCGAAAUGAUUCAGUGGAGGAAGGAUUAUGGCACCGACACCAUUAUAGAGGAUUUUGAGUACACGGAGUUGGAUGAAGUUUUAAAACACUAUCCACAUGGCUAUCAUAGUGUGGAUAAGGAGGGAAGGCCUGUCUACAUUGAGAGGUUGGGAAAAGUUGAUCCCAACAAACUCAUGCAAGUUACAACUAUGGAUAG